CCCUACGGGGGGCAGCAGUGGGGGAUAUUGCACAAUGGGGGGAACCCUGAUGCAGCGACGCCGCGUGGGUGAAGAAGCGCCUCGGCGCGUAAAGCCCUGUCAGCAGGGAAGAAAAUGACGGUACCUGAAGAAGAAGCCCCGGCUAACUACGUGCCAGCAGCCGCGGUAAUACGUAGGGGACAAGCGUUAUCCGGAUUUACUGGGUGUAAAGGGGGCGCAGACGGCGAUGCAAGCCAGGAGUGAAAGCCCGGGGCCCAACCCCGGGACUGCUCUUGGAACUGCGUGGCUGGAGUGCAGGAGGGGCG
rnacentral:rRNA from 1 species